GGGUCAGUAGGUUGGUCGUGCCACCGGUACGUACUGGUCUCACUGAUUCCUCCUUCCUGAAGAACCGUAAUGCCAUUAAUUUGGUGUUGCGGGGAAACAGGACUUUCACUUUGAAAAAAUUAGAGUGUUUAAAGCAAGCUAACGAUUGAAUACAUUAGCAUGGAAUAAUGAAAUAGGACGAUCGAUCCUAUUUUGUUGGUUUCUAGGAUUGACGUA
rnacentral:rRNA from 1 species